rnacentral:rRNA from 1 species
CCUACUGGUGGCAGCAGUGGGGAAUUUUGGACAAUGGGCGCAAGCCUGAUCCAGCUAUUCCGCGUGUGGGAUGACGGCCUUCGGGUUGUAAACCACUUUUGUAGAGAACGAAAAGUCUGUUGAUAAUACCGAUAGAUGAUGACGGUACUCUAAGAAUAAGCACCGGCAAACUACGUGCCAGCAGCCGCGGUAAUACGUAGGGUGCGAGCGUUAUCCGGAUUUAUUGGGUUUAAAGGGUGCGUAGGCGGGCUGUUAAGUCAGCGGUAAAAGCCCGGGGCUCAACCCCGGCGAGCCGUUGAAACUGGCUGUCUUGAGAUGUCGAGAGGUAUGCGGAAUGCGCAGUGUAGCGGUGAAAUGCUUAGAUAUUGCGCAGAACUCCGAUUGCGAAGGCAGCAUACCGGCGGCGAUCUGACGCUGAGGCACGAAAGCGUGGGUAUCGAACAGGAUUAGAUACCCGUGUAGUC